rnacentral:rRNA from 1 species
GCGGACGGGUGAGUAACACGUGGAUAACCUACCUAUAAGACUGGGAUAACUUCGGGAAACCGGAGCUAAUACCGGAUAAUAUUUUGAACCGCAUGGUUCAAAAGUGAAAGACGGUCUUGCUGUCACUUAUAGAUGGAUCCGCGCUGCAUUAGCUAGUUGGUAAGGUAACGGCUUACCAAGGCAACGAUGCAUAGCCGACCUGAGAGGGUGAUCGGCCACACUGGAACUGAGACACGGUCCAGACUCCUACGGGAGGCAGCAGUAGGGAAUCUUCCGCAAUGGGCGAAAGCCUGACGGAGCAACGCCGCGUGAGUGAUGAAGGUCUUCGGAUCGUAAAACUCUGUUAUUAGGGAAGAACAUAUGUGUAAGUAACUGUGCACAUCUUGACGGUACCUAAUCAGAAAGCCACGGCUAACUACGUGCCAGCAGCCGCGGUAAUACGUAGGUGGCAAGCGUUAUCCGGAAUUAUUGGGCGUAAAGCGCGCGUAGGCGGUUUUUUAAGUCUGAUGUGAAAGCCCACGGCUCAACCGUGGAGGGUCAUUGGAAACUGGAAAACUUGAGUGCAGAAGAGGAAAGUGGAAUUCCAUGUGUAGCGGUGAAAUGCGCAGAGAUAUGGAGGAACACCAGUGGCGAAGGCGACUUUCUGGUCUGUAACUGACGCUGAUGUGCGAAAGCGUGGGGAUCAAACAGGAUUAGAUACCCUGGUAGUCCACGCCGUAAACGAUGAGUGCUAAGUGUUAGGGGGUUUCCGCCCCUUAGUGCUGCAGCUAACGCAUUAAGCACUCCGCCUGGGGAGUACGACCGCAAGGUUGAAACUCAAAGGAAUUGACGGGGACCCGCACAAGCGGUGGAGCAUGUGGUUUAAUUCGAAGCAACGCGAAGAACCUUACCAAAUCUUGACAUCCUUUGACAACUCUAGAGAUAGAGCCUUCCCCUUCGGGGGACAAAGUGACAGGUGGUGCAUGGUUGUCGUC